CGCUGGCGGCAGGCUUAACACAUGCAAGUCGAACGCCCCGCAAGGGGAGUGGCAGACGGGUGAGUAACGCGUGGGAACGUACCCUUCGGUUCGGAACAACCCUGGGAAACUAGGGCUAAUACCGGAUACGUGCGAGAGCAGAAAGGUUUACUGCCGAAGGAUCGGCCCGCGUCUGAUUAGCUAGUUGGUGAGGUAACGGCUCACCAAGGCGACGAUCAGUAGCUGGUCUGAGAGGAUGAUCAGCCACAUUGGGACUGAGACACGGCCCAAACUCCUACGGGAGGCAGCAGUGGGGAAUAUUGGACAAUGGGCGCAAGCCUGAUCCAGCCAUGCCGCGUGAGUGAUGACGGCCCUAGGGUUGUAAAGCCCUUUUACCUGGGAAGAUAAUGACGGUACCAGGAGAAUAAGCCCCGGCUAACUUCGUGCCAGCAGCCGCGGUAAUACGAAGGGGGCUAGCGUUGUUCGGAAUCACUGGGCGUAAAGCGCACGUAGGCGGAUCAUUAAGUCAGGGGUGAAAUCCCGAGGCUCAACCUCGGAACUGCCUUUGAUACUGGUGAUCUUGAGUCCGGGAGAGGUGAGUGGAACUGCGAGUGUAGAGGU
rnacentral:rRNA from 1 species